GACGAACGCUGGCGGCGUGCCUAAUACAUGCAAGUAGAACGCUGAAGAGAGGAGCUUGCUCUUCUUGGAAGAGUUGCGAACGGGUGAGUAACGCGUAGGUAACCUGCCUUGUAGCGGGGGAUAACUAUUGGAAACGAUAGCUAAUACCGCAUAACAAUGGGUGACCCAUGUCAUUCAUUUGAAAGGGGCAACUGCUCCACUACAAGAUGGACCUGCGUUGUAUUAGCCAGUAGGUGAGGUAACGGCUCACCUAGGCGACGAUACAUAGCCGACCUGAGAGGGUGAUCGGCCACACUGGGACUGAGACACGGCCCAGACUCCUACGGGAGGCAGCAGUAGGGAAUCUUCGGCAAUGGGGGCAACCCUGACCGAGCAACGCCGCGUGAGUGAAGAAGGUUUUCGGAUCGUAAAGCUCUGUUGUAAGUCAAGAACGAGUGUGAGAGUGGAAAGUUCACACUGUGACGGUAGCUUACCAGAAAGGGACGGCUAACUACGUGCCAGCAGCCGCGGUAAUACGUAGGUCCCGAGCGUUGUCCGGAUUUAUCGGGCGUAAAGCGAGCGCAGGCGGUUUGAUAAGUCUGAAGUUAAAGGCUGUGGCUCAACCAUAGUUCGCUUUGGAAACUGUCAAACUUGAGUGCAGAAGGGGAGAGUGGAAUUCCAUGUGUAGCGGUGAAAUGCGUAGAUAUAUGGAGGAACACCGGUGGCGGAAGCGGCUCUCUGGUCUGUAACUGACGCUGAGGCUCGAAAGCGUGGGGAGCGAACAGG
rnacentral:rRNA from 1 species